rnacentral:rRNA from 1 species
UGCUUUUAGAGGUUUUAGUUAAAAGUUUGUUCUGCUCGGUGAUUUUAAACAGCCGCGGUAAUUUGACCGUGCAAAGGUAGCAUAAUCAUUUGCCUUAUAAUUGGGGGCUGGAAUGAAGGAAUAAACAAGAGUAAAUCUUUAUUUUUUAGAGAUUAAUAAUUUUCUUUCUUAGUGAAGAAGCUAAGAUUAAAAAAGGGGACAAGAAGACCCUUUUGAGCUUUACUAACUUUUUUCUUCUUGAUGUAAAGUUAGUUUGGUUGGGGCGACCAAGGAGUUAGAUCUUCCUAUUUUAAUUUUGAUCCACAGUUUGUGAUUAAAAGAGUAAGUUACCAAAGGGAUAACAGCGUAAUUUUUUUUAAGAGUUCUUAUUAAAAAAAAAGAUUGCGACCUCGAUGUUGACUUAUGUUUUCCUGUUGGUGUAGCAGCUGAUACGGUGGGUCUGUUCGACCUUUAAAAGCUU